UUCACCUCUCUCUUUGUUUCUAGUUCAUAAUGGUGUUUUGUUUCAAUAAAACUUGGUUUGUCAUUUGGAUUAUGUAAUGCUUUGAGUCUGUUCUGCAUUUUCCUUCUUGGUUGUUUCUUUUUUGCUAUCUGUUUGAAUUUAGUGUAUUUCAUUAGUUAUCCACUGUUUUGUUGCCCAUGAGGAAGCAUGCAAACUGGCUUUUAUGGAAUCAGCCCAUAGGAAAGGUUGGUUGGUUGAUUUAAGGAGCAUGAUUAUCACAUCACAGAUUCGUUGAGGUCAAUGUGAAAACUGGAUGGCACUUUGUUCUGUCCCCUGUGCUUGGGUGGCCCAUAUUGUUUUCCUUAACAAAUCAGAGACAGUUUAUCUCUUUGCUGAUCAUUUGCAUGUCUCUCGUGAUUAGGCGUGAAUUAUGACCUGGUACUGAGAAUAGGUCUGAGGCCUAAUUGUUCAUAAAUUUUUUUGUCUUAGUAUUUGUUUCUAUUUUAUGUCAUUAUACUUGCUGCUAAUUCUAUCAGCUUACAUUUACUGGUAUUGGGAAUAGUUCUAAGAAACCUCUUUCAAUAUCCUGUGUUAGUUUGUAACUUGUUAGUUAUAAUACCUGCUUCUAUUCAGUGUCAUUAUACUCACAGCUAAUGUUGUCACACUUUGUUGUUUAGCUAAGUGUCUGUGCCAAAUUAUUCACAAUUCUGAAUUCUCAAAUUUUCCCAUAUUGCUUCCCCUUAUUUUUCUUUUUCUAAUU
rnacentral:misc_RNA from 1 species